UCUUUGUUGGAUCUCUCAAUUUUGCUGGCGAGAACUGCAACAGCAUGUUUGUUGUUGUGGCUGUUUUUACUUCUGUUUAGAGGCAACCUAGCUAAGAGCUCCCAUUUGAUAAAGCAUCAGGAAAUUUAUCCCACCCGAGGAGUAAUGCAGUUGGUUGCUGUAAUUCCAUCAUUACGGUUCUUCAUCAUGAACAUUUCAGUGUGCUUCUUAGAAAAGAGCACGCAAGAUCCCCACUGACAUCCUUGAGCCAAUGCUGGAUUUUGCCCAUGAGAGAAGAGGGACUUCCACCAACGUUCUGCUCCAUCCUUAUCUUCAAGACUCAUCCAGCUUCACUGUUUCAGUGCUUCUUAUGCUGCUAGUCCUGCUACACAACUUUUCUUGCUUCACUGGCGAGUUGGAUCACUUCAGUUGCUGGACACGUACUGCAUGCAGUCACU